rnacentral:rRNA from 1 species
UACGUAGGGGGCAAGCAUUGUCCGGAUUUACUGGGUGUAAAGGGUGCUCAGGUGACUUUGUAAGUCAGCGGUGAAAUCUUAGAGCUCAACUCUGAAACUGCCGUUGAUACUACUUGGCUUGAGUAUGGAAGAGGUUGAUGGAAUUUCAGGUGUAGCAGUGAAAUGCGUAGAUAUCUGAAAGAACACCAGUGGCGAAGGCGGUCAACUGGUCCAUUACUGACACUAAAGCACGAAAGCGUGGGUAGCGAACAGG